UACGAAGGGGGCUAGCGUUGCUCGGAAUCACUGGGCGUAAAGCGCACGUAGGCGGCUUUUUAAGUCAGGGGUGAAAUCCUGGAGCUCAACUCCAGAACUGCCUUUGAUACUGAGAAGCUUGAGUCCGGGAGAGGUGAGUGGAACUGCGAGUGUAGAGGUGAAAUUCGUAGAUAUUGGGAGGAACACCAGUGGCGAAGGCGGCUAUCUGGACGAACACUGACGCUGAGACACGAAAGCGUGGGGAGCAAACAGG
rnacentral:rRNA from 1 species